GAAAAUACGUCUUUGGUGUUGAAAUUCAGCC
rnacentral:piRNA from 1 species